AAGUGUGGGGGUGUGCGGGUUUCUCAAGCUGGGACCUUGCAGAGCACGCUCUGCUCACUGGUAUUCUUGCCAUCACUUCUCCCUGGUUCAUGGAACAGAAAGGAGAGCCUGGUUACACAUCUCACUGGUUUCUCUGUUUUCUUUCUGUGACUUAUUUUGGUGAAUAUUUCAAAUUGUGGAGGGGGAGUUCCUGCAAGGGAGGAUUCAGUGUUGGUCUUCAGAACCGUGCACUACUAGACCAAACCUUAGGCUAGUGUGGCAGGACUGUUGACUCCAUUUCUACCCAUAACUGGGCAGAUGAGUCAGUAAAACUUCUGCCUUGCCCUCUUCAUUGACGCACAGCAUGGUCCUGCCUCCUGACCUCAUGAUUCCAUCUUGGCCUCAUGAUUCAUGGAAACCACAACCCAGAAGAGAAACAUAUAGCUGUGCCCUCUGUGGGGCCCUGCAGCCCUCCUCACCAUGAAGCCUCCCCAGAGCACACCUGGGACUCAGGAGCAAAGGCCCAACAUGCCUUCACCGACCGAGCCACAUGGCUGGACUCAGCUCAGUGAUGGGCAUAAAAGCAGGACUCGGACCUUCUUGGACAGAAAUGCCCCUUUGUCCUGAAAGGCUAGAUGGGUGAAUUCUCCAACCUGAUGAUGCAGAGUCAGUGUCCUCAGAACAUCUGAUGCAGCUGGACCAUCUGGUCUGGCCCCCAAAGUCCAUGUCAGUGGCUUUAUGGUCACAGGAAAUGAUGACUAUAGGGUGAAUUCCUACAAGAUAGUGUUUUGGGGGGUCUCCCUUAUGGCAGAAAGCAAGGUGGUUCCUGCCCGUUGGACGAAAAGGGUGCAUGUUGACGUCACUCAAGCUCUGGCUGUCCUGUGGUCCCACUGUCUCAGCACUGUGCUCGAGGAGGGAGAUGAGGCCUUCCAGGGGAAGUGUUAUGUCUUCCAAGAUCCCAGAGCAGAUUCAGGGCAAAGGAUUGUGAAGCCUCACGAUCACAGUCUCCUCGUCCCUUUUCAGAGACCUUCCUCCAAACCCACUGCUAGCAAUACUGGACCAUAAACUCAAGCAGAGAGGAAAUCUGGCAUUUCCGGAACAAUCUUCUUCAUGUUCCUCAGCAAACCUGCAGAAGAUGACAGCCUGGUCACCACAUCACUAGAAGCAAAUGUGAAGGAUUUUAGAAAAACAGCCUCUGCUCCAGCCCCAGUGGAAACAGCCGUCUCUGAUCCAAGGUGGCCAGAGAACCCAGAGAAAAUAGCCUUGCCAGGCCCUCAGCCAGUGAAGCCCUUCCAGCACUGUGGUUCCUAUAAGAAGCUCCCUGGCAGCCACUCACAGUUUGGUCCUCCUCUGUAGGAUGGAGAAGCCUAGAAGGCACUUUAGAGGAUGGGAUCAGUCAACCACUUUCUCUCAGCCCUUCCCAAGAGGUGAAGAGCAAUCCUGGAGGGUGCCAGCAAAUGAACAAACGCCUGUCCUGACAAGAGUCUUUCCUGGUGAAACACCGCGCUUCCUAUGGAAUAAAGGGCAGGCGUGGCUGCUGAGGCCCAGCAGUCCUUGGAGGGCAGGACAUCUCUCUCCCUUCGUCACACAGCUUUCUCACCUUGCCAAGUCCUCUUUUCCUGUGUCCAAGCUGAGAGCUGUCUGGCUGACUCUGCGGAAUUCUUGCUGGUCCUGCAGACACCCCUACUUCUGCAUCGAGGCCUUGGCUAAGUGCUGGGCUCAUCUCCAGGGAGGCCGGUAUCACCUUUGCAGGUGGCUGCAUCUCCGGGUGGUGGAGUGUUGUUACCACCUACUCUCUCCAUGGUCUUCAAGUGACUCCCUCUGAGGCAGAGCCAUAGCUUGUCCCUUGGAUGGCCUUGACCUCACCCUUUCCAGAGCCAGGACAGACAGCCUGCCCCUGAAUAUGACUGCUGAGGGUGUCUCCUCAUGGAAUCAUGAGCAUCUUACAGAAAGAGACCCAAUAUACAGUUCCUGGAGUCCAGAGGGGCUGGCCACAGAGCCACUGGAAGGCUGGGCCAGAGUGACACUGACCACGGCCCCCACCAGGUUCUUCUAGCCACCGCUGCCCCUCACUGGGAUUCCCACCCUCGCCUACCGCAGAGGUUCUGGGACACCAGGGUGGCGGCCUGUGCCAGCUUCACGGCCGGUGUCAAGUUUACAGUUGCCUUGAGACUGGGAAGGUCUCAGACAGAGACUGAGUCCGGCCAUCCCCUCGGUCUGGUCCCAUCAGGGAAAGAGCACAGUGGCUGCUGGCCUCUCUGCUGUGUUCCCUGGGAGCUGCCAUUCAAGCUUCCUGUGACUAACACAUUCCUUCUGUAGAGCUCACUGGUUUUCCUGGCUCCCUCUCCAAGUCUGGCCAGAGCAGAGCUGGCAUCUAGAAGUUGUUUUUUUUUUUUUUAAUGUUGAG